CCGAGUGUUCUCCAGACGUCACGGUAGCUGAGCGCGAGCGAGUUUCUUCUCGCGCUCCCUCACGCGCCACUACCUCGCGCGAAUUCCUCUCCCCAGCUCCGCGUCUCCUGAUCACCUCCAACCGCAGCUUGCCAGAACCGUCGAAAAUGCCUUUGACCGUGUGAGGGAAAGGAUGGCGGGUGGUCGUGAGAACUCUUGAGGGGAAGGAAGGCAGGGUUGGCGCUGCCCCUGCCCACUCCGCUUAUAACAGCCUCUCUAAGCAACAUCUCCAUGUGAAAUGUUCACCUAUUAAUACUUGGAGAUAACACUCAAAACAUAACUAUUGAAUAUUAAGAAGAGCUGGGAUGUAUUGAAACGGCGUUUCUGUGCGCUCUGGCUUCCAUCACAGUGUCCUAUUGCACCAGAAGCAGUUUCGUCAUGCUGGCCACAUGACCCAGAAAGCUGUC